AGGAGGCAGUGGGGGCGGGGAAAGAGCGGAGGAGAAGGAAGUGGGGAGCGGCGGAAGCCGAUUGGACGCUAGCACCGGAAGUCGUGUGGCGCCUGGCACCCUCCCGCUGGGCGGGGUUGGGGCGGGGCUACAGGCGUGGUAGGCGGGGCUACGGGUGUGGUGGGCGGGGCCAGGCGAGGCGAUAGGCGGUGUUAGACCCGCUUUACUCGCAGGGUCUCGGCGGAGCCCAGCGCGGUGUGGGGGCCCCGGGCGGGCCCUCGCGGAGGAUCCACGCUGUCCCAGUGGCAAAGGCGCCGCCCGCCUUCCACGCCCCCCGGCCUCUGUGGGACCCCAAAGGCUCUCUGGGAAACUAGGUGCUGCUGAGGAACGUUAGAGCUGAGUCACUGACACAUGGGGAAACAUGGACUGAUGGUGUAACAGCAAACUGUAGAAAGGGCAUUCAACACUUUCCCUCGCAUCCCAUUGGCUCCAGUGAGCCUAUUGGCCACACCUAUCUCCAAAGGAGACCGGAAGACGUGGGUUCCGAGGGGCUCAUGAAGAGGAGGAAAACGAAUAUGGGAUAACAGCCCAGGGUCCCCAGCACACUGUAUUAGGAGGGAGGUACCCUGCGGAAGGUAUCUGCGUGGGGCCAAAGAUACCACACUGCUCUCGUGUCUCUGACUCCUCCAGACACUGGCUCUUUUUGCAUCCAUGUCCUCUGGACCAUUCUCUGUGUCCAGGACAAACUUGGUGCUAUGACUGGCCAGGCCUUGGCAACGUGCACACCCUCAAGGCCGAGAGGACAGCUUCUAUGACUAAAAGAAAGGAAGCUUGCUGGACUAAAUAAGACAAGAAAUUAAGGAUCUGUCUUCCAAGUACUGAAGGUGAGGCUCAGCUUUCUUCUUCACCAAAAUCAAAGAAUCCUAUAGAAUGUCAAUGGGCUUACAUGCUGUGUUAGCAAAUGUUCAUGAUUUGUUUUAUUUGGUACAUAUAAUAAGACUGUUGGCUGGUGUGGUCAGUUUUAAACAGCACAGACAUUAAAACCAGAAGCAUCUGGAUUUAAAAGCAGUUCUACCACUUGUGAAUAAAAAUAAUGUCAUCAUUACCGAUAAACAGGUAUCAAGCAUGGUACAUUAUAUACAUUGUCUCCUACUUCUGUUUCUCACACAAACCCUCAAAAGGAUGUGCCACCAGCUUUCAGAUGUAGAAACGGAAGCACAAAGCCGUUGAUUAACUUGCUGAGAGAUAGUCAGCACGGGAGCCAUAAACAGCCAGCUUGGUUUUUAACCCUGGAGACUUGAUCAGUAUGAUAAAUUGCUUUUCCAUGUUUCCUUGCUUUGAAAGCACCUAGAGCAGCGGUUCUCAACCUGCGGAUCGCGACCCCUUUGGCGGUCGAAUGACCCUUUCACAGGGGACGCCUAAGACCAUCCUGCAUAUCAGAUAUUUACAUUACGAUUCAUAACAGUAGCAACAUGACAGUUAUGAAGUAGCAACGAAAAUAAUUUUAUGGCUGGGUUACAACAUGAGGAACUGUAUUUAAAGGGCCAGAUGGUUGAGAACCACUGACCUAGAGAAAUUUUAGUUUGCAAUAGUAUUAUAUGUGACUUUUGACAACUUACUUAUCUUUUCUGAGCCUCGCUUUCUUUAUCGGUAAGCUUAGAAAUUUGGGGUUUGAAUAUUUCUUGUGUCUGUUUCAACGUGAAGGUCUGAGAAUAUAACAUUCUUUCCACUGUUAUUAAGUUUCACUGUGUUAACAGUA